rnacentral:rRNA from 1 species
CACCGGCGCCCCGAGUGGCACUCGCGAUUAUUGGGCCUAAAGCGUCCGUAGCCGGAUUGGUAAAUCCUCUGUGAAAUCGUGCUGCUCAACGGUACGUCGUGCAGGGGACACUGCUAGUCUCGGGACCGGGAGGGGUCAGAGGUAUGCCGUGGGGACCGGUAAAAUGGGAUAAUCCACGGUAGACCACCAAUGGCGAAGGCAUCUGACCAGAACGGAUCCGACGGUGAGGGACGAAAGCCAGGGGA